AUUGAACGCUGGCGGCAGGCCUAAUACAUGCAAGUCGAGCGAACCACUUCGGUGGUGAGCGGCGAACGGGUGAGUAACACGUAGGUGAUCUGCCCAUCAGACGGGGACAACGAUUGGAAACGAUCGCUAAUACCGGAUAGGACGAAAGUUUAAAGGUGCUUCUGGCACCGCUGAUGGAUGAGCCUGCGGCGCAUUAGCUAGUUGGUAGGGUAAAGGCCUACCAAGGCGACGAUGCGUAGCCGACCUGUGAGGGUGAACGGCCACACUGGGACUGAGACACGGCCCAGACUCCUACGGGAGGCAGCAGUAGGGAAUCUUCGGCAAUGGGCGAAAGCCUGACCGAGCAACGCCGCGUGAAUGAUGAAGGCCUUCGGGUUGUAAAAUUCUGUUAUAAGGGAAGAACGACUUUAGUAGGAAAUGGCUAGAGUGUGACGGUACCUUAUGAGAAAGCCACGGCUAACUACGUGCCAGCAGCCGCGGUAACAC
rnacentral:rRNA from 1 species